rnacentral:rRNA from 1 species
UACGAAGGGGGCUAGCGUUGCUCGGAAUCACUGGGCGUAAAGGGUGCGUAGGCGGGUCUUUAAGUCAGGGGUGAAAUCCUGGAGCUCAACUCCAGAACUGCCUUUGAUACUGAGGAUCUUGAGUUCGGGAGAGGUGAGUGGAACUGCGAGUGUAGAGGUGAAAUUCGUAGAUAUUCGCAAGAACACCAGUGGCGAAGGCGACUCUUUGGCCUGUAACUGACACUGAGGCGCGAAAGCGUGGGGAGCAAACAGG